rnacentral:misc_RNA from 1 species
UCUCCGUUGGUGAACCAGCGGAGGGAUCAUUACAGGACUCGCAAGACUCCUACAACCCUGUGAACUUAACUAUAAGCACGUUGCUUCGGCGGGUGUCUCGGAGGGGGUUCUCCCUCCCCGGGACGCUAAACCCGCCGUCAGCCUACUAUACUCUGUCUCUUUGCGUUGGCAUCUCGAGUACAAUCAAACAAGUUAAAACUUUCAACAACGGAUCUCUUGGUUCUG